GACGAACGCUGGCGGCGUGCUUAACACAUGCAAGUCGAACGGAAAGACCCUGCUUUUGUGGGGUGCUCGAGUGGCGAACGGGUGAGUAACACGUGAGUAACCUGCCCUUGACUUUGGGAUAACUUCAGGAAACUGGGGCUAAUACCGGAUAGGAGCUCCUGCUGCAUGGUGGGGGUUGGAAAGUUUCGGCGGUUGGGGAUGGACUCGCGGCUUAUCAGCUUGUUGGUGGGGUAGUGGCUUACCAAGGCUUUGACGGGUAGCCGGCCUGGGAGGGGGACCGGCCACAUUGGGACUGAGAUACGGCCCAGACUCCUACGGGAGGCAGCAGUGGGGAAUAUUGCACAAUGGGCGGAAGCCUGAUGCAGCAACGCCGCGUGCGGGAUACCGGCCUUCGGGUUGUAAACCGCUGUCGCCUGUGACGAAGCGUGAGUGACGGUAAUGGGUAAAGAAGCACCGGCUAACUACGUG
rnacentral:rRNA from 1 species